UCAAAAAUUUUCAUCGAAAAAACGUGUUUUUCUUUAAACAAAUUUUAUCUAAUUAAAAUCAAUAAUUUCUCAAUCAUUAUUAAUAAGAACUACAUGUGCAUGGAUUGCCUGUUGGAUUGAUGUUUGUUUAAGAAGAAAUUUCUCUCAAGUAAGAUAUCCACUCGAGAAAGGUUAUUGCAGCUUGCAGCAACAUCAUGUUUUAUCAAGUAUUGAACCACACAAAGGAUUAAAUCUUCAUUACAAUAUCAUUCAUAACUCCAUUUAAAUCAAUGGAAACUAAAUAUGGAUCGUUUCAUGGAGUAACAACAUACUUUGGAGUUUGGACCCAAAAUACAAUACACGUUAAUAUCGAACUUCGAACUUAUAAGGUGAUAAGCUGCAAUUACAAUAAAAGUGCUUGCUAUGGAAUCACCGGUGCUGCUCAUUAUUGUCAACUGGUACUUAAAAUCCAGAUGAACCAACCUUUACUUCCUAUUCAAAUAAGUUAUGCCAUGACAUAAAUGCAUUAAAUUAGGAAGAUUUGUAUUGGAUGAAUUACCCAGAUAACAAUUAAAACAACUUCUGUUGAUAAGAACAUUUGAUUGGUGGAAUCCAGAUUCUGUGAAUGUACAUGUAAUUGAUUGACAAGUACACAUUUGACAAGGUGGUGAGAAACGUGUAGAUCUGACCUGUACAGUGGCUAUUGGAUUGGACAGAACCAAAGUGAGAGUGAACGUGUGAAUUUAUGGAGAACAUUAAACUAUUUUACUAUAAGUCAUAACGCAACUUAUUUUGUAUGAGUUACAUACAAAUGUCAAGCCGUGAGUACAUUAUGUAAAAACUAAAACAAUGUACUGUAAUCAUAAUAGUAACUGUAAUCUUUUAAAAUCCAAUAGUUUUAAUGCUUAU